CCUACGGGAGGCUGCAGUGAGGAAUAUUGGUCAAUGGACGCAAGUCUGAACCAGCCAUGCCGCGUGCAGGAAGACGGCUCUAUGAGCUGUAAACUGCUUUUGUACGAGGGUAAACGCAGAUACGUGUAUCUUUCUGAACGUAUCCUACGAACAAGGAUCGGCUAACUCCGUGCCAGCAGCCGCGGUAAUACGGAGGAUUCAAGCGUUGUCCGGAUUUAUUGGGUUUAAAGGGUGCGUAGGCGGUAGGAUAAGUUAGAGGUGAAAUCCCGAGGCUCAACUUCGGAAUUGCAUCUGAUACUGUUAGGCUAGAGAGUAGGUGCGGUAGGCGGAAUGUAUGGUGUAGCGGUGAAAUGCUUAGAGAUCAUACAGAACACCAAUUGCGAAGGCAGCUUACCAAGCUGCAUCUGACGUUGAGGCACGAAAGCGUGGGGAGCAAACAGGAUUAGAUACCCGUGUAGUC
rnacentral:rRNA from 1 species